GUGAGGACGACUCAUUUGACAGGUGGAGGUCCUUCUGGAGUCCAAAAAUGAUGGCUGUGUGAUUUCAUAAAGCUCUCCAAAACUUUCUUCACGAAGAGACCACCCCGACUAGUCUACAUUUGAUUUCACAAAAUUGGGAACUCGGGUCCCCUCCUACAACAGACCAGGCCUUGGUGGGUUUUGGUGCGAAGCCUCCACAAUGACUCGGUGAAUUCUGCGCUCAACAUUUGAUCUGACCCGAUGCGCCGGUCAGAGGGGAAAAAAGGGAUGUUGGAGGAGAGGCAUUUAUCUGCUUCAUCAUUUGGUGACAUCAUGUCGUGAAAACAGACCAUCGUAACUGCAUGCAGAGUCAUUAAUGUACGGCCGUAAAAUAAAAGCACAUGACGGUAGAGGUGUGGACAAGUGAGGCUGCCAGAAGCGCGCCGAGCAGACAUCUGUGCACAUGGAAGACCAGCACAGGAAAGACCUGAAGGCUGCGGGAGGUCAGCUGACUCAACGCUCUGAGACAUUCUUUUGUAUUUGUCCUGCCAAGUCCACUAAACGAGCACUGAUAUACAGAGAUCGGGCUCGCGUCAUCGGCUUUGCGCUUGAGUCCCCAGGGUUGUCUCGAAACAAUUCUUGUAUUCAAGUCUCCAGUUUCAGGUUUUUUGUUUUUGUUUUUUAAUACAUGUCACAACGUAAGACAAAGAGGAUGACAUUGAAAAAUCCCCUCCCCAAAAAACCAGUGCUACAAACAAAAAAACGGCAGACUGCUUUCAUAUCAUUGUGCGAUAUGAAAACUAAAAAAAGUGGGGGAAAUGGUAUCCAUGGCAACUGAAAAAGACAAAACUAACAUUUAAGCCUCCCUCGACAGCAGUGGUUCUUAACCUGGUUUCGAUCGAACCCCGUUGGGUUCGGUGAGUCGGUCUUGGGGGUUCGACGGAGCCUCUGCCAUGGAGGGUAAGACACACAACUCAACAUGUUAAUUACUUACCAUCACUGGCUGCAGAGGAUCGCAUGACAUUGCUUGGCCAAUCUGUUCUGUGGGAAAUUUAGUUCACUUUGUAGUCAACGUGUGACUGUCAUGACAGUACGUCGUACAAUAGAAAA